rnacentral:rRNA from 1 species
CCUACGGGCGGCAGCAGUGAGGAAUAUUGGUCAAUGGUCGGGAGACUGAACCAGCCAAGCCGCGUGAGGGAUGAAGGUACAGAGUAUCGUAAACCUCUUUUGUCAGGGAACAAAGGCGGGGACGUGUCCCCGGAUGAGUGUACCUGAAGAAAAAGCAUCGGCUAACUCCGUGCCAGCAGCCGCGGUAAUACGGAGGAUGCGAGCGUUAUCCGGAAUGACUGGGCGUAAAGGGAGUGUAGGCGGCAUAUUAAGUUAUGUGUGAAAGCCCGCGGCUCAACCGCGGAAUUGCACAUAAAACUGGUAAGCUGGAGUGCAGGAGAGGUAAGUGGAAUUCCCGGUGUAGCGGUGGAAUGCGUAGAUAUCGGGAGGAACACCAGAGGCGAAGGCGACUUACUGGACUGUAACUGACGCUGAGGCUCGAAAGCGUGGGGAGCAAACAGGAUUAGAUACCCGAGUAGUC